UGGCUCCUGAUGAAAACAGAAGGGACAGUGUGUAGAAGCAGUACAACUUUUUUUUCUUUUUUUCCAGAGUUGAACAAGAAGCGCUCUCUUCGUUGUCCCAAGGUUAUUGGUCUCCAAGAAACAAACAAUAUGAAUGGUAUGUUCUACUUCCACAUCACGAGGGGACACUUAUUUUGCGUCCAAAGUCCAAACACAAAUAUUUAACCCCUCUGCCUUCAUUUUCCCAGAAGAACUGUGUAGCCCUCUAUGCUUCAUAGAGACAUUAAGUACUUUUCCACAGUGCAAUUGUCUCCAUUUAUUUAGUUUGUUCAA
rnacentral:lncRNA from 1 species